CCUGGCGACAAUAGCGCGGUGGUCCCACCUGACCCCAUGCCGAACUCAGAAGUGAAACGCCGUAGCGCCGAUGGUAGUGUGGGGUCUC
rnacentral:rRNA from 1 species